ACAACACAUAUCUACAGAGCAGAAUACAGAUAUUCCAUUUAUAGAGACUAAUGGUUUUAAAAAUUUCAUGACUGCAGUGAAGAAAUCAAACGUGGUCAUACUAACAGGAAUGCCGGGAGAUGGGAAAACAUCAGUGCUUAAUCACUAUGUUAACAAACUUAAUCUACGUAAAGCUGAAGCAAUAUUUCUGCGAAGUUUUACGGAACUGCAAAGUGCAGAAGCGAGAAAGAACAUUAUUUAUUUUUUGGAUAAUGUUACCUCCACUAUACCUGUUUCAAGGCGCCAUUCUUCUGAUGUACUGAAAAAUAUAGAUUCUGCAGCUUGCCAUAUCCAGAGAACAGAUCGAGGAAAAUUAGUCAUUGUCCUUCACAAAGAUGUACUGAAUUUCUUAAAAAUACGCCACGGAAAUUCUCUCAUUUGGUCAAAUUUUCCUAUUGUAGAUCUUUCAGAAUCCUUAAAUCAAAGUGACAUAAAUCAGAUUCUUCAAAACUAUGGACUACAAAUAGAGGUUUCUGAAGACGCGAAGACCGGUGUUUUAGCAGAGAGAGAUUUUUUAUGGGGGUUCCCUAAGUGUUGUCGAAUGGCGUCGUCAAAUGCAGAUUUCCCGCUGAAAAAAGAUAUGUCUAACAUUCUCAGUUUCCAGGUUAAAGUACUAGAAGAAUAUUUUGGAGAAAUGGAAGGUCCUUCCUUAGCUGUUCUCGCCUCAGUUGCUUUCCAUAGAAACACAGUCGAUCGUGACUUUUUCUCCAAUGCUUGUUCAAAAGAAAUGUUUUUUCGAGAUGCUUUCAUCUUGUGUGGGUCUGAAUAUAACCACUCGAUGCCUCUUACGAUGUCAGAAAUCGCAAGUGCGUUUCAGGGAGUCUUUUUAGUCGUAGAAGGUACAAGUAAAUUGUCAAUAGAGAAUGGAAUAGUUCUGGAGGCUAUAAAUCAUGUACUGUUGACCAGAAAUCCCUCAAAGUUUAUAGCAUGGUACCCAGUGGAGGUUCUAACAGAGUUCUUUAAAUAUGGAUCGGAAAAUAAAUCCAAAGUAUUAUUUCUGAAGUCUUAUAUAAGAAAUCUUCUAAUGCGAAUUACUUCAGAACUUGAAAAUCCAAACAUUGAUCUUAUUGGUAUGUUGGAAAUGAUAUCAAACAUGUACAUUUGGAGUAAACCUCUUUGCUUAACAUACUUGAAGCAAGAUAAAGCAAUGACCCCAAGACUUUGUCAGCUCAUCCCAACUGGAUCAUUAUUCGAGUUUUUUCAGCGUAGUGUUUCGCAGUCUUUUCUAUUUUAUCUGUACCAAGAUUCUGCUACGUUAACGACUAUUUGUCGAUAUUUUCUACAGAAUAAGGUCAAACACUUCGGCUCAUACAUUUUGAAUUCAGAUGUGAAUGUCAAUGCGACACUAGCUGAAAAGGCAUUUCCAUAUCUUGUGUUGUCUAAAACCAAAUCUGCAAAGGAGAUCCUGGGGCACACUCUUUGUUUAUGGCGCUUGACGUUGUAGAUGGCAUGAAUCUGGUGAACAAAUUUGCCACAACCAAGCGCGAGACUUGCAAUACAGAGAGAUCAUUAUUUGAAGCUUUAAUCAGCUCAUACAUGCUUAGCGUUAGGGGAAAGGAGACCUUUGAUCCUAUUUGCAUAUUACAACUAGGAAUUCAACAUUGUUCAAAAUGGCUUAUUGAACUGGCGUUGACAUUUGUUAAUCAAAUUUCGUGCAAAGCAUUUGAGCCGAUUAUGACAACAUUCAAAAACCAUCCAGAUAAAAAAAUUAUGAAAGCCUUAGGAUUUGCUGUGGUUCUAUAUUUUAGAAAAAGCUACAAAAAUACCUACGAUGUACGGGACGAAAAAUUCAGCACUGGAUACUUUGGUUGUGGUAACAAACAGUUCAAAGCCGAAAAAUAUACAUAUGAGGACUUUUGUGGGGUUAGGUCUUGUAGUACGCGGAGAAAAUGAAUUUAGUGAAGAAUCGAAGGAAAUGCUGCAAUUUGAAAAUAAAUGUGCAGAUUUACUCAAUAUGAAACUGAGUCCAGAAACAGUUAAAUCUCUUCUCCGAUCCCAUAAUAAUAUUACAAUAAUAUCAGCGUCUUGUGUCCGUAGCAAGGGCUUUGGGACUAAGGAAAACAAAAUAUACCAUACACCAUGCAUUCUAUUGUGCUGUCCAGUAAAAGGCAUCAUACCUGCGGAAGAAUUGCCCUUUCCAUCUACAUUGGAGGGUCAUGAAGUUGAUAUCCGAGAAGCAACAUGUAUGUUUGCAGCAAAUGAUGAACCGCUCUGCGUUGGAGAUGAAAUUAGAUCAGCAAAUUCAGGUUCCAUGGGAACUUUAGGUGGUUUUGUUGAUUUGCAAGGAGGCUGUUCCAAAGGGUUAAUAACGUGUGCUCAUGUUGUUUUUAAACCGGGUGAACUAAGAUUGAAAGAUUUUGGAAAGCUCAAAAAAUUUCAUCGAGUCUACACCGAGAUAACAGACGAGAACGGCUCUCAUAUCGGGGUUGUCGAGAGGGCUGUCUUUAAGGACGAUAAGUAUGAUGGUACGAGUGUGGAUGCUGCUCUGAUUGAAAUACCCCAUUCUAUCCCUGUCGAUGGAUCAUUCUCUAAAAAGAUGCGCAAAGAAGACGUUCGUUGUGCAGGUUUUUUUAACGAGUCGCCUCAUUUUUCUUAUGGAGGGAUUGAAAGUGUUAGUUUUUCAAACAUUGACUCAAAGAUUGUAAAAAUGGGAGCAGUGAGUGGACUAACUAGCGGAAGAAUCAAAUUUACGGAAUCCAUAUUCCGCAGUGUGUCCACAACCCUCAGUGAUAAAUCAAAUGUAACAUUCCGCGGACAAAUAGAAAUCAUGCCAGAUAUUGAUCCUACAGUAGAUUCAAAUGACAGGCCUCCAUUUUUAUCUUCUGGGGAUUCGGGUUCUUUUGUAUUUAUGGUUACGAGGAAAAACCCUUUAGUUUUGAAAUGCAUUGGUAUGGCUAUUUCUUUAACUUCAUUUGGAACGUGCUUCGUCACCCCGAUUGUUCCAAUAUUGGAAGCGUUAGAACUACCUCUGGACUGUCUUGCAAAAUUUCGCGAUUUACCGGAAGAGGAAGUAGACAUCAGGAGCUUUUUAGUUAGCAUCAAGUCAGAUGUCAAUCAAAUAAGAAGUGAAAUCAAUACUAAUUUAAAUGACAUAAAAUCUCAAUUGGCCAGUCAAGACCAAAAGAUUCGCCGAUUAGAUUCAGAGAGAACAAAAUGUAGCAUUAUAUGAGAACUUUUCCCGUCUUGCC